AAACUAACAAGGAUUCCCCUAGUAACGGCGAGUGAAGCGGGAUGAGCUCAAGCUUAAAAUCUCUGUGCCAGUUUGGCAUGGCGAAUUGUAGUCUAUGGAGGCGUUGUCAGUGCGAUUGUUCGGGGUAAGUUCCUUGGAAGAGGACAGCAUCGAGGGUGAUACUCCCGUAUGUACCUGUUCAGUUGCGCGUACGACACGUUUUCUUCGAGUCGCGUUGUUUGGGAAUGCAGCGCAAAGUAGGUGGUAAAUUCCAUCUAAAGCUAAAUAUUGGUGCGAGACCGAUAGCGAACAAGUACCGUGAGGGAAAGAUGAAAAGAACUUUGAAAAGAGAGUUAAAGAGUACCUGAAACUGCUGAAAGGGAACCGAAUCGUAUCCAGUGUCUAUAAUCUAUGGCAUAUUUCAUUGGCGAGUGAGUGCGUGUAGCGUUUUGGAAGUGGUUUACCGCUCUGGGCGUUAUUGUGCAUUUGCUUGCUGGUGCCCUGUGCUGUGGUGGGACGUCAGAGUCAGUUUGUGUGCUGCGGGAAAUGGUUAUUGGGGAGGUAGGUCAUUUCGGUGGCUAUUAUAUCCUGGUAACUAGUCGUCGUGGCUGAGACUGAGGUGCCUACAAUGUGCUUUCGAGUGUGCGGAUUUCUCGUGUGGCUGUUUGCUUUGAUAGCUUGCUAUGUUGGUGAAUAAGUUGUGCGAUUGAGACCUGUAUUAACUUGUUGCCGUUCGGGACUUUGACGAAAUGGAGCGAUCCGA
rnacentral:rRNA from 1 species